GAGUAGAGUGGCGCACGGGUGAGUAACACGUAGGUAAUCUACCUUCGGGUGGGGAAUAACAACCGGAAACGGUUGCUAAUACCGCAUAAUGCAGCGUCACCUAAUGGUGACAGUUGUUAAAGCGGGGGAUCGCAAGAUCUCGCGCCUGAAGAGGAGCCUGCGGCGGAUUAGCUAGUUGGUAGGGUAAUGGCCUACCAAGGCGACGAUCCGUAGCCGGCCUGAGAGGGCGGUCGGCCACACUGACACUGACAUACGGGUCAGACUCCUACGGGAGGCAGCAGUCGGGAAUUUUGGGCAAUGGGCGAAAGCCUGACCCAGCAACGCCGCGUGAAGGAUGAAAUCCCUCGGGAUGUAAACUUCGCAAGAACGGGAAGAAUAAGUUUGUGCUAAUACCACAAGCGAUGACGGUACUGUUUGUAAGCUCCGGCUAACUCCGUGCCAGCAGCCGCGGUAAUACGGGGGGAGCAAGCGUUGUUCGGAUUUACUGGGCGUAAAGGGCGCGUAGGCGGCCUCCGCAAGUCAGUUGUGAAAUCUCCGAGCUUAACUCGGAAAGGUCAACUGAUACUGCGGGGCUAGAGUGCGGAAGGGGCAACUGGAAUUCUUGGUGUAGCGGUGAAAUGCGUAGAUAUCAAGAGGAACACCUGCGGCGAAGGCGGGUUGCUGGGCCGACACUGACGCUGAGGCGCGAAAGCUAGGGGAGCGAACGGGAUUAGAUACCCCGGUAGUCCUAGCCUUAAACGAUGAAUGCUUGGUGUCUGGGGUUAUAUAGUCCCCGGGUGCCGUCGCUAACGCUUUAAGCAUUCCGCCUGGGGAGUACGGUCGCAAGACUGAAACUCAAAGGAAUUGACGGGGACCCGCACAAGCGGUGGAGCAUGUGGUUUAAUUCGACGCAACGCGAAGAACCUUACCUGGGCUAGAAUGCCUCUGACAACCCUAGAGAUAGGGCCUCCUAGGGAAACCU
rnacentral:rRNA from 1 species